rnacentral:misc_RNA from 1 species
UAAUGAAAUAAAUUGAUGCUUUCUGUCUCUGUCGCUGCACAAAAUCAGGGCCAAAAGCUAUCCAAUGGAAAUCAAUCAAAUGCACAAAACAUUAAUCGAACUAGAAUCUGAAGAAGAAGAAGAAGAGGAAGAAGAAGAAAACGGUGACUGGGAAGAUUGGAGAGACGAUGAUGGAGAAGAGGAAUCGGAAUCGAAUUUUCGCUGCUUGUUUUGUGAUUCCAAGUACAGUGCGUGCACUGAAUUACUCGAUCAUUGUAGUUUAAUUCAUAAAUUUGAUUUUCGGGGGGC